rnacentral:rRNA from 1 species
CUACGGGUCGCACCAGUGAGGAAUAUUGCACAAUGGGGGGAACCCUGAUGCGGCAACGCCGCGUGGAGGAUGACGCAUUUCGGUGUGUAAACUCCUUUUAUAUGUCAAGAAAAUGACGGUAGCAUAUGAAUAAGCAUCGGCUAACUCCGUGCCAGCAGCCGCGGUAAUACGGAGGGUGCAAGCGUUACUCGGAAUCACUGGGCGUAAAGGACGCGUAGGCGGGUUGGAAAGUCAGGUGUGAAAUCCUACAGCUUAACUGUAGAACUGCACUUGAAACUUCUAAUCUAGAGUAUGGGAGGGGGAGAUGGAAUUAGUGGUGUAGGGGUAAAAUCCGUAGAUAUCACUAGGAAUACCUAAAGCGAAGGCGAUCUCCUGGAACAUUACUGACGCUAAGGCGUGAAAGCGUGGGGAGCAAACAGGAUUAGAUAUCCGUGUAGUC